rnacentral:misc_RNA from 1 species
GAUUAAGAACGUAGCGAAAUGCGAUAAGUAAUGUGAAUUGCAGAAUUCAGUGAAUCAUCGAAUCUUUGAACGCACAUUGCGCCCUCUGGUAUUCCGGGGGGCAUGCCUGUUCGAGCGUCAUUAUAACCACUCAAGCUCUCGCUUGGUAUUGGGGCUCGCGGUUCCGCGGCCCCUAAAAUCAGUGGCGGUGCCUGUCGGCUCUACGCGUAGUAAUACUCCUCGCGAUUGAGUCCGGUGGGUCUACUUGCCAGCAACCCCCAAUUUUUACAGGUUGACCUCGGAUCAGGUAGGGAUACCCGCUGAACUUAAGCAUAUCAAUAAGCGGAGGA